CUCUCUCUCACACACACACACUAUCUAUCUAUCUCAGAGUUAUCUUAAGAGCUUUCUAUAAGUCUUUUAACAGUUCUCCUUUGACACAAUGACCAUCUACCUUCUAUGUUUGCUGUAUUAUUGAAGUUAUUACUUAGAGGAAUGGUAUCAUUUUCAUUUUCUUGAUGCUCUUGUUGCUGUACUAUAUCAUUUCUUCUUUCAACUGAGUCUAGCCUUGCAGUGAAAUACCUCGGGAGCUGACCAUAAUCCAAAAGAAAGAGCUACACAAAGGCACAGAAAAGUAUUAGGAUGGAAGUCAAAGUCUGAUGUGUCUGACAACAUCCAGCAAGUGCAAUUUCACUAGUUCAGACACAUAUAAAUGAUGACUGAAGAAGACUGGGUGAAGAUAGCAUGGCAGGAGAGGGUGUUAGGAAAGAGACCCUGAGAAGCUGAGGAAGUGAUGGAUGGAUUGCAUAAAAGAAACUGAUAAGUAUAAGAUAACAUUGCAUUGAAGGCACCUCAAAUUUCUGUGGCGAGCAGGCCUGUUUGAAAGAGCAAUUGCCUCAUUCACCCUGGUUAUCAGAGGUGAGACAAGGCAGAGAUAUUUCAGCUAUUACUAAUGAGGCUGCCUAAUUAAAAGUGAAGAGUGAUGUGAAGCUCCCACUCUCUCUCUGGAUGAUCAUUAAUGAAGAUGUUAACUGCUACAAGACCUAACAUUGAUUCGUGUGGUGCCCUACGAGAUGCUUCUUCCCAAUUCAAUACAUUGCCAUUUAUCACUUACAUUUGUUAAUAGACUUUCAGCCAGUUUUUAAUCAAGGCAACAAAAUUUGUAAUACCGGUUGUUUUGAAUUAAUUUUAGGGAAAUAUCUUUUUAAAGACAGGGAAUCAACUAUUUUACUAAAGAUCAAAACAUUCUAUCAACUGCAUUCCUUUCAUCUAGUAGGGGUCUGAUUACCCAACCCUUACUCAUACAAGCAGUCCUUAUUUACAUGAGUGAAGAUUAAUUACAAAAGAGAUGGCUGAAAUAGAAUUGAGACAAAAUUUUGUAAUAAAAAAAAAAUUAUCAAGCUUUUUCUUUAUAAACCUGUGCUGUUCUUUGUUGCUUCUGGUUCUU